rnacentral:rRNA from 1 species
AGAGUUUAAUCCUGGCUCAGGAUGAACGCUAGCUACAGGCUUAACACAUGCAAGUCGAGGGGAAACGACAUCGAAAGCUUGCUUUUGAUGGGCGUCGACCGGCACACGGGUGAGUAACGCGUAUCCAACCUGCCCAUCACUUGGGGAUAACCUUGCGAAAGUAAGACUAAUACCCAAUGAUAUCUCUAGAAGGCAUCUGAAAGAGAUUAAAGAUUUAUCGGUGAUGGAUGGGGAUGCGUCUGAUUAGCUUGUUGGCGGGGUAACGGCCACCAAAGCAACGAUCAGUAGGGGUUCUGAGAGGAAGGUCCCCACAUUGGAACUUGAGACACGGUCCAAACUCCUACGGGAGGCA